GUUCCAGACUCCUACGGGAGGCAGCAGUGAGGAAUAUUGGUCAAUGGGCUUACGCCUGAACCAGCCAAGUCGCGUGAGGGAAGACUGCCCUAUGGGUUGUAAACCUCUUUUGUCAGGGAGCAAUUGGCGCUACGUGUAGCGUUAUCGAGAGUACCUGAAGAAAAAGCAUCGGCUAACUCCGUGCCAGCAGCCGCGGUAAUACGUAGGGGGCGAGCGUUAUCCGGAUUUACUGGGUGUAAAGGGAGCGUAGACGGUUCUGCAAGUCUGAAGUGAAAGCCCGUGGCUUAACCGCGGAACGGCUUUGGAAACUGUGGAACUGGAGUGCUGGAGAGGCAAGCGGAAUUCCUAGUGUAGCGGUGAAAUGCGUAGAUAUUAGGAGGAACACCAGUGGCGAAGGCGGCUUGCUGGACAGUAACUGACGUUGAGGCUCGAAAGCGUGGGGAGCAAACAGGAUUAGAUACCCCAGUA
rnacentral:rRNA from 1 species